UACGUAGGGUGCAAGCGUUGUCCGGAAUUAUUGGGCGUAAAGAGCUCGUAGGCGGUCUGUCACGUCGGCUGUGAAAACCCGAGGCUCAACCUCGGGCCUGCAGUGGGUACGGGCAGACUAGAGUGCGGUAGGGGAGACUGGAAUUCCUGGUGUAGCGGUGAAAUGCGCAGAUAUCAGGAGGAACACCGGUGGCGAAGGCGGGUCUCUGGGCCGUAACUGACGCUGAGGAGCGAAAGCGUGGGGAGCGAACAGG
rnacentral:rRNA from 1 species